CCUACGGGAGGCAGCAGUGGGGAAUAUUGCACAAUGGAGGAAACUCUGAUGCAGCAACGCCGCGUGGGUGAAGAAGGCCUUUGGGUCGUAAAGCCCUUUCGAUUGGGAAGAAGAGUAGUGUGGCUAAUAUCCACAUUACUUGACGGUACCUUUAUAAGAAGCACCGGCUAAUUUCGUGCCAGCAGCCGCGGUAAUACGAAAGGUGCAAGCGUUGUUCGGAAUGACUGGGCGUAAAGCGCGCGUAGGCGGGAUAAUAGGUCGAUUGUGAAAUCCCCGGGCUCAACCUGGGAACUGCAGUCGAAACCAUUAUUCUUGAAUAUCUGAGAGGGUGGGGGAAUACCUAGUGGAGCAGUGAAAUGCGUAGAGAUUAGGUGGAACACCGGAGGCGAAGGCGCCUGCCUGGCAGAAUAUUGACGCUGAGGCGCGAAAGCGUGGGUAGCAAACAGGAUUAGAUACCCUGGUAGUCCACGCCGUAAACGAUGGAUACUAGUUGUUUGGGGAGUUAACCCCCUGAGUGACGCAGCUAACGCAUUAAGUAUCCCGCCUGGGGAGUACGGUCGCAAGGCUAAAACUCAAAUGAAUUGACGG
rnacentral:rRNA from 1 species